CCAAGCAUAUUCAAACCACAACAGUCACCAAACAAAUAUGUGCUGAUUAAAUUGAAAGAUUGAACUCAGGAAGUGAAAGCAUUGGGAGCUUAGUCCUUUAACACUAGGAAUGGAUUGCAACCCACUCUGCCUUUUUUUAAUGGCAAAAGAAUGAGUUUAUUAUAAGCCAUUAGAGCAAGGCCAUUUGAAAUUUUUGAUGGUUUUGUAUUUGAUCUCACUUCAUGUUUGGAAUGCUGAUAUAUAUAAAAGCCUGUUCUAAAGCCUGCUCAAGAGUGGCUUUGGGGUUCUUAAUAAGUUGCCUGCCCUCUGCCAGCCUGUACCACCUUCCCUGAAACACAAAAACCAUUAUUCCUAUAUGGCAAGCUAGGUCUGACAAUUAAUUAAUAAUUAUUUAAAAGUGCAUUAUAAACAUCAUAAAAUCUCAUAAUAAAACUCAUCCUCUUAUACAGUCAAUAUGUUGUGGGGUCUGCUUAAAUCCAACAUAAAUCCAACAUAACUCAAAUACCAUGUCAUACAGAUGACAAAAAUGUAUUGUGAUCAAGCUGAUUCUGGUCCAUCAGGGCCUCAGAACAGACCGAAGAGCUGAACUAUGACCCUGGAGGAAUGUUGUGCAGCUUAGUUAAAGAAUGAAACCUUAAUGAUAGGGGAGCUGGAUGGACUGUAGCAUUGUCCAAUUAUAGUUUGACAAUAUAUAUAUAUAUAUAUAUAUAUAUAUAUAUAUAUAUAUAUAUAUAUAUAUAUAUAUUUGAAAACGCUCAUCAUCACAUCACUCUGUAGCUCUCCACAUUUCAGGUUUGAAUCUUCUUAACAUCUUAGAGUAUCUAUCAGCUACUGCCUGUAACACCCACAGAUUCAUUUUACUGCAAACCAUGAUGCAAAUACUUUUACUUAACUUCAACCAUUUUGUUUUCCCGAGAUAAUAACUUGGUAUGAAUCUCUUAGAGGCCACAAAUUCUUGACCUACCUGGCUCAGCCUCUUGUGUGCCAGAAGGUUAAAAGGUUAAAAGGUAUGAGCCACCCUAUAGGGCCUUUGAUACAAAUGAUAAAUUAUAGCUUGUUAUUUAAACAAUGUAUUUAUUUCAAGCUUAUUAUUUAAUCCAGUUGCAAAAGAAGAAUACACAGAGUAGUUUUUUUUCCUCUCUACAUGGUGGUAAGCUUCUGAUAGGUUAAGCAUAUCACUUGACAGUAGCUAUUAAGAGAAGAGAGCAUUGUUGGCUAGCAGAGGUUGACUGUGGUCUCUGCCCAUUCUGUUUACAUUUGGCUCCUUCCUCUCCCAAAGCUUGGCUCACCCUCUUAACAGUUUCGCUGCGGUCUGAAUCCAGCAUGAGCCUUAGGCCAACAGCGAGAUCUUCAGCAGCUGGUGAUGGCCUGCAGUGAGCACUGAUCUCAGCAAACACUUCCUCAGGAUAACUAGUGGUUUAAGGAAUGCCAUGUUGCCACAGUGCCACAUUCACGUAGGUGGGGGGUCUUGCAGCUGGGAUUCAAAUUAAGUCAAUAUCCAGCUAUAAGUGUUCAUUUUCUUUUUUGUCUUCGAGAUUUUUUUUUCCAGUUAAAGCAAAAAAUUCAUGACAAGAAAAACACUGGGUCUGCCCCAGACUGAGUUGCUUUCUGUUUUGCAUUGUUUCCCCCUCAAAGCUGUGUUUUCCACCUUGUAAGUAAAUCCCUGCCGGGGUCAUCUGAAAGCUUCCCCCUUGGGAGGGCUGUGCAGGGCAAAUCUGGGAAACAACUUGAACAGGGCUCUAAGAGCCACAGCAAAGAUGACAAAACAAUCCAGCCCCAUUUCCAACCCAUGCAAUCUUUUUUUUUAAUAUAUGCAAUUGCAAAGGAGGGAGAGUAGCUACCAGCCCCUACCCUCAAUCUACAAAAGAGGCCUCUGUAGCUAAGGAGAGAAGCACACAUACAUGGCUUCAUGGAAGAUCUGGGCAGCUUGGGAGUUUUCAAAAAAAUGAAGAUCCAAAGAAAUGGUUAUACUUCUCUGCUGGCUUGUUUGGUUGGUUUUGCUUUUUGCUUUUGCUUCUUACAUGAGCUGGAGUUAUCUGGGGAGAGGAAUCUCAAUAAAAAAAAUCCUAUUAGAUGUCCCACAGGCAAAUCAAUAGUGUAUUUUCUUGAUUAAUGAUUGAUGUGUGAGAAAACACCCCAUGGCGGAGGGCAGGACAUGCAUCCCUCGGUAAGUAGUCCUUGGCUGUGUAUGAAAGCGGGCUGGGAAAGCCAUGGGGCACAAGCCAGGAAGGAGUAUUUCUUCAGUUCCUGCCUCCAGAUUUCUGCCUUGAGUAGAAAUCUGCCAGGUUACUGACUUGCCUCAGUAAUGGAGUGUAAACUGUAAAUUGUGAGACAAAAUUCUUUUCUCUCCAAGCAUUUAUUUUCUUCUCUCCCUCCCUCCCCCUCUCUCUACCCUCCCCCAUGAAUCACUCAUUAAGAGAGGGGGCAGCCUGGGCCUGAAUAGGUUUUGACACCUCAAAACCCACUUCCUGUGACAUGCUUUCUCCAACAGGGUCAGGCCUCCUAAGUCUUCUCAUCGUUCUCAAACAGUUCACCAGCUAGGGACCAAGCAUAUAGGAGCCUUUGGGGGCCAUUCUCCACAACAGCUUUACUUCAAACACACAGGGUAGCAUAAGCAGAGAACGUUCUGGAUUCAGAGACUCUAUUGCUUUUAGUUGCCAUGUUCAACACCAUCAUAACGCAUAAAGGCUGCCACAUGAGGUAUUGACGAGGAUCGUGUGACCCUUCUUGGUUAGCCCACACCUAGGAGUAGCUGUGACACCAGAGGAAAGAGAAUCUCAGAGUUCUACCAUCUUGUCUCCAAGGGCAGGUCUGCUGCGUGCCACUCGUGUGCCCUGCAGUGGUGAACUGACAUCCCUAAAGAGGCAGGACCACUUCAGGGACUACGUGUCCUUCUUCUGUCUACGAGCGUCCACUUCAGAAAAGGCAACUAGUGCAAAACCUAGCGGUCUCUACAGACUUGAACCCCUGAUCAUUUUUCAGUAAGAGUUUUUGGUUCUUUUUUUUUUUUUUUUCGGAGCUGGGGACCGAACCCAGGGCCUUGCGCUUCCUAGGUAAGCGCUCUACCACUGAGCUAAUCCCCAGCCCUCAGUAAGAGUUUUUAAAAAUCCCAUGUAUCCUCACAUCAGCCGGUUAUGGCUCACAUUUUCUCAUGCAGGUAAGAGGGAUAGAUACAUUGCACAAGCAAGCGUGUGUGGCACAGACACACCGCCCUAUGGGCGAACUCCCUUGCUCCACAUCUCCACAGUUUCUGAGCUGUCCCCUGGGCAUAGGCUGGUUGUCACAUUAACGUGUUUGUUCCACUCUGCACCAGCGGAGUCCUGCUACGGUGGCCCAGAGGCAGCUAUGAUGCUAGUUUCCUUACACCUGAAUCGGGCCUGAGGGGUUUGGAAGGCAGUUGGCUUUUCAGAAAAAAAGUCUUGUUUUAUGGACUUCUUUGUUUUAGGAGUAGAAAAUGUGCGACACCCUUCCCUGUUUCCAGCACAGAAAGAAAUAUUUUUCUUUCUUUCUUCUCUUUUCGGCACAACUGAGUUUCUGACUCAGUACAGGACUGAGUGUAAGCUUCGUCCCUGUUUUUCUCAAAUUCGUUUUGCCUUUACUGUUCAUCCAUCUUCUUCUACAAUGAGGCCAGCCUGAGAUCGACUCUUAGAAGCGCAGCCGUGUCCUCGCAUGCUCUGGGAGUAAUAUUCGACUGAUGUGUGGACUCUUAGUGCUUCGCUGCUGCCAUCAACUGCGGAUGGAUUUUAUUUGGAAGUAGGUUAUAGCUAAGAGAGCUGCAGGGUGUCGGCCCUGUGUUGUUUCCGUAGUUAAUAAAGCUCUGUCAGAGGGCCUGGAGAAUGUGUGCUUGGGUUUAUAAUUCUAUCAGCCGGUGCUGGUCCCGACGUUCAGGAAAUAGCACCCAGAGGAGACAAAGGAGAAGCACGUGGGUGCAGGCGCCUAUACUGAGCUAGAGAGAGGAAACACAAUGGCAGCUGUGGCAGGGGCUGUGGGAAGGGAGCAGGGGGCGUGGUGCUGGAUGCUAGAAGCUUCUGACUAGGGUGAGAUAGGGGUAAGUAAGCUUGUGUCUUGUGGAAAUGGCCGUCGCCCACACAGGGGAGAUACUGUUUCUUUUAAGGUGUAAUAAACUCUUGUCUGAGAUGAUUUUUCUGACCCUGCCUAGAAAUGUAAAAGGACAUUUCUUACCCCUGGUGCUCACCUGUCCUCUAAAUCUGCCUAAAUUUCCUUCCUUCCCCACACUUGGCAUUUAAAACCCUCAUGGAUAAAUCUCUGUGAAGUCACUGAUAUCUUUUGCCUUGGUAUUAAAAAUAGAGUAGCAGCAAUGCAAUGGCUUGCCACAUACUGAAUCACAUGAUUACGUCGAUUCUCAGCAAGCCCAUCCUAUGCACCCCCAGGGAGGACCAUCCUGCUUCAGAAAUGCAGAGACUUGAAAGACUAAGUGAGCAAAAGUAUGUAGUCAGGAGCUGGUGUUCCCCAAAACUGCCUCCCUUCAGGACCAUACCUUUAAAAUUAGAAGGGGUGGGGGAGGGAGGGAGGGAGAGAGAGAGAGAGAGACAGAGAGACAGAGAGACAGAGAAACAGAGACAGAGAGAGACAGAGAGACAGAGACAGAGACACAGAAAAAGACAGAGAGACAGAGACAGAGAGACAGAGAGAGAAACAAUGUAAUUGUAUUUGAAUGUGUAUUUGUUUGGGAGCAUUAAUAGAUCAGUUUAUCCUCCUUUCCUUUCUUUUUCUCUUUUCUUAUUGUAACAUCAAGUAUCCAGAGUCAGUUAUGUCCAACAAUCAAUGAAAAAUUUUAUCAGUAGUGAACACGUUGUCCCUGUACUUUCCGAUGAAAUCGUAUGUUGGCCUAUGUCAAAAGUAACGUCCUCAGUACAACCAUACCAUACACAAUACUGGCUCACUCCUCGUUUAGUAGCUGCCCAAGCUUUCAUCCCGGCAGCUGUAGCAUUGCACAUAUAUUUAUUUUAUGUAAAAGGGACUCCCAAAACAGUUGUGCUAACAAUUUAAGUAUGGCAUGUUUUAUAAUUAUUAUAUUUUAUUAUUAGUUAUUAUUAAUCUCCUAGCAAACCUAACUGAUAAACUAAACGUCAUUGUAUGUAGGUGUGUAAAGGAGAAAGAAACAUGGCACACAUGGUUAUAUAUACCAGUUUUGUACUAUCUGUGGUCCCAGGCAUCUCCUGCGGUCUUGACAUGUAUCUUCUAUGAAGGGGCUACUACUUUAGCUAUGGAAUAUACCCUGGAAGUCCCUCCCAUGAGCCUAGUCAUGGCACAAGAACAACCUUGGUCAGCCUCUGGAAGCCCUCUUCUCAUCUUUCAGCCCUACUUCUUCUUCUGCAUCAUAAAACAGCUGCUACCCAUGGUAUUGGAAGUGCUGGGCCUACUUAUGCAAUCAACACUCAAAGCCGCUCAGGAGUCUCUGGUUUGAGACAGAGACAGAGAAACUUUUCUAUUUCUGGCUACUUUUUAGAGACAUGUAUUUUUAUAUCACCAAGAAAGAAAAAAAUCUUUAUGGUUUUUGGUCAAGACAGUCUGUGCAUCUGUACACUGUCUCUUUGGCACCAAAUUAUGAUAAAAUUGAAACACAAUGGCAGUUGAUUACCUAACUCUUGUCCCUACAAAUGACAGUGCCAUAAAAAGUGGGGGGACAAGGAUAGAGAGCAUCUAUAGUCUAAAUUAGUUCAGAAUUAGCAAAGUCUACAUCCUUUGUUCAUUGUCAUUACUCCAACAUUCUCCACCACUUGAUUUGAUUAGCGAAAUGGUUUAUGAGGAGGGAGCUGGAGAGACGGCUCAGUGGAGAGAUGGCUCAGUGUCUAAGGCCACUUGCUGCUGUCCCAGAGGACUGACCAAGGUUUGAUUCCCAACACUCACAUGGCAGCUCCCAGUUAUCUGUAACUCAGUUCCAGGGAAUCUCAUGCCACCUUCUGACUUGUAGGGUCACAUAGGCAUAGAUAUACAGAGAGACAGAACACCUAUGCAAUAAAAUGUCAGGUGAAAUGGCCUUUAUAUUUGGAGGGCAGUUUUCAUUUGCUGUUGAGAAGUGGGAGGCAGUGUUGGCUGAGAGCUGCUGCAUUUCCAAUGCCCAGUCAUAUGUUUUGGAUUUUUUAAAUGAAUAUCAACAACCCAUUUCUGCUUUCUUCCAUGAUUUAACUGUUCUUUGUUACCCAACUCCUCAGGAGAAAGGAAAAACCAAGGCUGCCCAAACCAUUACUCCUUCGCAAGUUAUAUAAUGGCAUCACAAUAAUUUCAUGAUAAGACAUGUAGUCUAGACUAACACAUAACAGUAGUAGGAUCUAGAGGGAAAAACGUUUCUAAAACUUACACAUUACUUUUAAGCAUAAUGGUAAUGUAUAAAAUCUUACUACUUGUUCUGAUGUCCCCUACUUACAUGCAGGUGUCCUCUAUUCUCUUGUUUUAUGGGUGAUCUUUCAAUAAAUAAAACAUUUUUUCAUCGUGGUAAUGACACUGAGGGUGCUGGGAAGGGUCCUAGGCUGACUCAGGUCUUAACUGUUUAACUCGCACUGAGCCUGGCUCCCUGAGCUGUGUCCUUUGAACUCUGGCUGGUAAGAGGAGGUGUGUUGAUGACCAAUGGAGACAUUGGAACUUUAGUGAUAGGGAGUAGUUCUCUUCCAACUGUCCCGGCCUCUGAUCACCAUCCCUCCCUGUGCUGCUUUAGGCCCUAAGGACUCCUCUCUGCCAUCAUGGAACCAUUGCAAACCUGCCUGCCUUCCAGUCAUGGUUAUGCCCCUCUCUGGAUAAGGAACCUUCCUUAUUUCUCAGAGACAACUGAGCAAGGGCAGGAUGGCGGCCUCCUUACCUGUGGGUUCUCAAGCCAUUCUUUACUGAUAACGCCCCUCAUCAGCAUACCCUGGUUCACGUCGAAGAUGGGGGCUUUUAUUUAAGGCAGAGAAGCAGCAUGGCUAUUGCAAAGCUUUUGCUGUUUGCUCUGAGUACAACUGAGAGUCAGGAGGAUGCAGUGGGGUUGUGGUGCUGGCUCCAUGUCCCUCUUUCGAUGGUUCCUCAUCAACUGGGCAUGGGCUGGAGUGACAUUCAAGGAAGUGCCACGGAGGCAAGAACAAAAGGGAUCCACACCCCCUUUUCAGAAAUUCAACAGGAAGGUGUGGAAAAAGAGUUGAAUUCCCAGAGUUUUACUUUGUUCAGUUAAUUACACGGUAGGCGUUAGAAUGGACAGUGGGUCUUUAAUGGGAUAGGCACCAGUUACGACAGCCUGAAAGAUAGAGAAUGGAUUUGGUCAGCUGAGAAGUGGCCAGGCGGGGGAUCUCAGGGCUAUAAGAAUCAGAAAAUGUUGAGGUUUUGGGGCAGAAGACUUAUAUCUUUGAAAUGCUCUUGACUUUUUUGUUAUCUUCUACACACGACCUUUGAUCACAUGAGCUUUGACCUUUGACUUCAUGGGCUUUGGCUUUUGAACACACGAACUUUGACCUUAACCUUAUGAACUAAGAGGUUCUGGGGAUAAAUGCUCACUGGCUCCUGGAGAAUGGGUGAAAUCUUUUUCUCUCAAACACUGAUAAAACUCUUUCUGAUUGGACCAGAUCCAAAUAAUGCCAUCCCUAUUCCAGAAGAGAACCAGGAGGCACAGCUCUGGAGCUGAGGCUGGCGUUGCAGCCCUCAUUCAUAUCAAGUGUCCUGAGCUUUUUGUCAGACAUUUCACUUCCAGCCUGGCCUGGGUACCAAAGACAGGAGACUAACCAGGGAGCAAAAAGGUUGCAAAGAUAAAAGGAAGCAGUGGCACUCGUGAGAGCUACUUAUCUCUAAACAACCCACUUUUGAGCCUUUGUGUACCAGGCGUUCUCAGUGUAGGUGUCCGGGUGCUGAAGAAGGGUGUCGAGCUGAGCCACAUGGUCCAUAUCCCUACUUUCAUGGGAGAUACCGCCUUCUAGAGAAGGGAAGGUAGAGAGCAAAUGCACACAGCGAUUUCUGAGUGUGAGGAGCUCUAGGAAGGGAUUGAUAGCUCGCAGAGAUGGGCAGAAGACCCAUUAGAAAGGCAGGCAUAUACACUGUACCCCCUCUCCCAAGGCUCGGGAAUGUUCCAGCAGAGGGGACAGAACAGAGUAUGACAGAAAGAGAAGGAGGACAACUACAAGGGGACAAUAUCUCCUGUUGCACACAAGAACUCACAGCAGUUGAGACAGCGUAUACCAGACCCGUGCAAACCCAGGACAAACCAAAUCCCAGCCUGAGAGUGGUUUUGGGCAUGACAUCAGUAGCAGAAGGGCUGUGAUCAAUGAUAGCUGCUAGGAGAAAGGUUCAGCGUUCUCUGAAAGUGUAGCCCACGAUGGGUCAACCAUGCUGUAGUGGGAGCUACACAUCAGGAGCAUUUGGGCAGCACACAUUGGUCUCGAUACUUUUUUCUUUUAAAGAAAAAGAUACAUUUAGAGAAGACAGUAAAGAAGUGGUUAUGGAUCCGGACAAAGUUGGGAGUAGUGGUUAUGAUAAAAAAAAAUCGUAUCCAAAAUCAUCGAAACACUAAUAAAAAAUUAAAAUUAAGAAAAUGUAAGUAGACUUUAGAAAGCACUGUAUAUGGGCAAAAUUCCACAGUGUGGCAGCUUUGCCAGGGGCCUUAGCUGACUUACUGACUACUGGAGGCUAUCAGUUCCCAGGAAGUGGUGUCAAGACCAAUUUGAAGUGAAAUGUCACUAGCCGACCUAGGUUGUUCUCCACCUUGAGCAGAGAAGAUUCAUGGUCACAGUGGACAGCUGUCAGUAGGAGAGAUUCAUGGCUGAUCAAAGUGCAAGAAGAAGACACCGAGGUCUCAGCCCUAAAUGGGACGUCUAUAUUUAAUCCACCGCCCUACACAGAUUAGACUCAGGGAACAAGUACAGAAAGAAGGUCACCGCUGGAGGCUGGGGAGGAGCACUGUCUUCGGGGACAUGACGAGAAUGUCACUGCUGCUAUCUGCAUGCCAUUGCUUUCUCCCUCCCGACCAUCUGAGAGGAGGCAGAGACGCUGCCAGAGAAGAGGGACGAUGAUUCCGAGUGGCCCCUUGGAGCCUGCAUCGACUAGCAAUGUCAGUUAGCUUUCUGUCGCUGUAACAAAUACCGAAGACAUUCAGCUCAUAAAGACAAAUUUUACUCUGGCUUAUGACUUUUGACCUUUUUUUUUUUAGAUUUAUGUAUGUUAUAUAGUCUGGCGCUUGCUUGCAUGUAUGUAUGUGCAUCGUGUGUAUGCAGCACCUAUGCAGGCCAGAAGAAGCCCCUGGAACAGGAGGUUAUCAUAUGGGUCACCUGAGAACUGAACCCGGGUCCUCUGGCGGAGCAGCCAGUACCCUUCUCCACUGAGCCAUUGCUUCAGCCUAUUGCUCGUGACUUUAGAGCACUGGUUCUUAACCUGGGGUUGCAAUCUCGCUGGAGGUCGAAUGGCCCUUUCACAGUGGUCACAUACCAGAUAUCUGGCAUAUCAUUUGAACAUUACAGUUCAUAACAGCAGCAAAAUUAACAGCUGUGAAAUAGCAAUGAAAUAAAUGUAUGGCUGGGGUCACCACAACAUGAAGAACUGUAUUAAAGGGUCACAGCACUAGGAUGAGAGUCGCUGUUUUAGAGGUUUCCCUCCUGGUGUGCUAGCCUCCCUGGUUGGGGUCUGAGGCAGCUGGAGUGCAUCACCACAUUCCUCACAGAGAGUGGAAAGCAAGUGAGAGAGGAGGUCUUAAAGGGGGUCACUUCAUCUCAGAAAGUUAGCUGCCCACUGUAUCCUCCAUCCACACGCAGGGGAGGGGUCCCUCACGGUAAAGCGUAGUUUCUUUUCUGUGCUUUACCGCAUGGCAAAACCCAAUGUGGCAGUCACCUCAGUCUCCCUUGCCUGUUUCCAGUCUUUAUCUCCAGGUCUCCCUGGAGAGACGAGGUGGGCAUCUGGUCUAGGUGUAUGGGUUCCAGAGUCGAGGAGGCUGUGUCCAGAGUCUGUGGCACAAGCACAGAGGAGUCUAGACACCUCACUUCUCCCUCAGGCUUCUGUACUUCUGCUCCCUGUGACUCAGGUUCUCCUCUCUGCUGUUUUGCCUCCUCAGUCUUUCCCUGCUUGGGUCUUCUCUGUUCUAUCAGCUUUUAUCUCUCUGUUUUGACCAUAUCAUAGAUAGAAAUGUACUUUUAUACCCAGCUAUUUGCAAAAUUAUAUCCCACGUUCUUAAUUUUGCAAACAAUAAGAAAACAUGCCCUCCUUGUUUCUCACAAUUUCAAUACCCACUUUUCUUUUAUAAGUCAGCCUUCAUUUUGCAGAAUAUAACUUUCUGGGGCCUAAUAAUUCCUGUCAAAGAAAAUGUUCCAUGUGUCUAAAAUAGUCACCUGGGCUUGUAUUCCAAGGACAAUACAUGGAUUUUUAUUCCCGUGCUCUACAAUGCAGUUGGUUCCAACAGGGGAAUCUGAGGGUUUGCACACCCAGGCAAACAGUUUUGUUUGAUGUUGCUGGCACUGGCAUUGAGGACAGAGGGCGAGAAACUGGGGAAUACCCUUUGGUGAAUAUCCCCCAACACACACAACAAAGAGUAAUCCAGUUCCAAAUAUCAGCAGCCUAAAGCUGAGAACCUUGUCAAAACGCAGGGUAAGCCUGCAUGUGGCUAAGUCACAGAACCUGAGAAAGAGUUUCCAUGUGUAUUUCCCUAAAGCCAACCCUUCUUUAAGCUACAGGAGUAGCUUUGGCCUCUGAGCUCAUCUCCGUGCCUGGGAUAUUUCUGCCCUGUGUAGUCAGUGGUCCUCCCUUUCUUACAUCUGUUUCUUCACUACAUUUUAAUUCCUGUGACAUAUUUUCCCCAAGGUAUUACAUGAUAAUAAAAAAGAAAAGCAGAAAGGCUUUUGACUCUACUCAUUACCAAAUAGGUGUGAUUUUAGAGAAAGCUGAAAUCAUUUUUUAAAAUAUUUUACUUAUAUUUCUAAUCAACACCUGCCACACAUUCUUCAGAAAUAUAAUUAUACAAUUUUCUAGCUGUCUGUUCUUUGAGAAUUUGAUAAUGAAGUUUGCUAGUAUGCCCCGUUCCCCAAGCUGUCAGUGCAUCUAAGGUAAAUUUAAUUUGCAAACAGCUUAUAAUACAGACCAACAAGCACGUAUGUAUGUAUUCCAUUUUUUCAAAAUGUAUUUUUCCUUUAAAUAGUCAUUCUAUCUUCCUUCCUUUGUCACAGUGGACAGCGGAGUAGAGGGAUGCUAAGUUGGGAGGACCUGCUGUAGUGAGUGGAGUGCAGUUUUAUUAGUGGAGUGGAUGUGCUUAGGGAGGCCAGAGAGAAGGAUCAAAAGUUAAAAACCACCAACCGCUUUUCCACAGCACCUACCCUUGAUUCCCAGCACCCCCAUGGCUUUCGCUCAUUUUGCAAUGCCCUCUCCGGCCUCUGGGGGGCACCAGACACACUGCAGACAUUUGCAGGUGAAAACACCCACACACAUAAUAUAAAAAUUUAAAGAACAAUGUGCUCAUCUGACACUCUCCGGAUGAUUUGCAUAUUCAUCACUGCACCGCAUGUUAAGCAGGCAUAUGCUAAGCAGUGCUGAGAAAUUGAGUUAGCGUUCCUUCUGCACCUUGGAAUUAAACUUUUCUCAGCGCCCCACUCCCCAACCCCCACCUCCCUGCUUGUUCGGGGAGUUUUCCAGCGCCCGCAGUCAGCAUCAGUUUGACAGUGUCCCUUGGAGAGUACUGUAUACCCUUCUCUGUUUCCUCUCUCCUGCUUUCCUUAUUUCCCCCUUUUCUCUCAACUUCCCUGUUCACACGCACUUAUACUAAAACACCCUUCAUUCAGCUUCCUCUCUCAGGAUCCUGGGUCUUAGAGGAACAACAGUAAAACAAAAGAGAUCAGAUAAUACCAGUGCCUUCCGUUUUCAUCAUCAUUUGGAUAUUCAGAGUUAAAACUCUCACUGUUGUUUUAGGAAAGGGAGGGCACACGCUAGCGUCCAGAGACACAGUCCCUGUCAGGGUGUCCCACUCCCCUGUAAGCAGAACAUCAUUUUCCACCUGUAAUUUAAGGAAUUAAAAAAACAUAAGCUUGAGAAAACGACGCUGGGCCUGGGGAGAUGGCUUGAAGGGUAAGAGCAUUGGUUGAAGUAGCCUAAGGACCGAGCUUAAGCUCUAAUACCCGUGUAAAAGUUAGGCAAGGAUGCAUGCGCUGUGACGCCAGCACUGAGGGACAGUCGUGAGUGGUCCCCAGAAGUUCACUGGACUGGGAGCCUGGCCAAAACACCAGUGCCGCCAUGUCUGGUGAAAGGCCUUGUCUCAAUGGAGAGAAGUAGAAACAAUAUUCUCCUCUGGUCUCUGCCAGUACACACAUGUGGUCUCUCUCUCUCUCUCUCUCUCUCUCUCUCUCUCUCUCUCUCUCUCUCUCUCUGUGUGUGUGUGUGUGUGUGUGUGUGUGUGUGUGUGUGUGUGUAAUUAUUUUUCACAAAACUAAGUACUCAAAGGCUAGUCUCACUUUCCACAUCCGGUGGCCCACAGCCAUCUGUAAUUCCAGAGUUACCCAGUGCCCCUGGCCUCCAUGGACACCUACACUCAACAGACGUAAGACCAUAUUCAUAUACAGAAUUAAAAAUAACACAGACGAAGCUUUAAAAGGGAUAGUAUGGCUGGCCAUAGCCUAAUUUCUUUUAACUUUUUAAAAUUAACACAUUGUGUGCCUCUUCAUUGGAUACAGUAUCAUAAUUUGUGUAGAGCGUGUUGUAGUCAAAUCGAGGUGAUUAGAAUUCCAAGCCCUUGCCUUUUCUUCCCUUGGAGCCUUCAGAUUCCUCUCUUCUGGUUCAAUUCUAAUUAUUUGUAGACACAAUCUUUAUAGUCUUCUGCUCAUGUUUGCUCUUAGUCUAAAGAGCAAGGCUUCCAGAUGUUUCUUUAUAAACUUACCAGAAAGAUGUAAGUAAAUUUCCUCCCAAGGAUAUGUAACAAUGAGAAACAUACCUCAUUUGUCUCCCGCAGGCUUUCCUGGAAGACUUGGCCACAACCAGUUUAGUGGACCUUGACAAGAAUUCCCAUUGCAGCCCAAUUUUCCAGGAUAGGAGAUUUAUAGGUAUUUCAUAGUCCCACAAGCUCCUCUGGUAGGUGUAAUAGGGAGGUGCUUAAGCUUGCAUAGACUUUAAGUGUGAGUUCAAAGUAGACCUUUGUGAACAGCGCUGAAGGAAACCAGGAAAAAUCUAAAGAGACACAUAAUCAAUAGCACAUGCCCGCACGCACACACAUCCUGUGCCCUCGUCUAGGUACUAAGACGGAAAUGAGAGUAUGUAAGAAACACUGAUCGGAUCCUUUAAGAAUAUGCCGGCUACCCACAAUGCAUCUAGCUAUACCUUCCAGGACUCGAUGUGGAACUUCCUAUGGCAUUCACUGAGUAACGCUCACGACUCUUCUCUAUUUUUGUUUUUGUGAGUGGACGGCUUAGGUUUCUGGAGACUCCGACGUUUCCUUACCACCAUCACCACCAAUGAAAUCUGUUCAGCUGAGGACAGAAGUCGAUUGACAUGCUGCAUUGUCAGAGUGCCUAUUUCUUAUUCUGUCCGUGAUCGAUUCAAUGACCUUUGAUAAGGAAAGAGCUAUGGGGUGUGACUCACUGUGACUGCUUGUCACAGCCAAAGCAGUGCGGUCUGUCAUUCUGCAUACUGGUGGGUACAUCCUUCAGUCUUCAUGGAGCCAGUGAAAUGCCAUCUUUAGCUAGCAUGUCCUAUCUGGAGCCGCAUCCUCCUCGCUUACUAGAUUUAUUGGAUCAAAGCACUUUUCAUUUCUUAUCACAUGACGAUCAACCCCUGGCUGCAUUCCUGCCUGGCCUUGCACCUCAGUCGACCCUUCAAAGUGCUGCCAAGUGUUUUCUCUAACAUGUAGCUCUGUUGUCAUUUUUCUCAUUCUUCAAAACUUUUCGGUAGAUUCCCUUGUCCACUCUAGAGAGUUUCAAAGAUCCUGUGCCCCCUGGCUCUCCAUCUUCACCUGACAGGACAAGGCUCUAUACUGGGCUGCCUUCUCCCCUUCCCUCCCUUGACUAUGCUGCUCUACAGUCUAGCAUCCUUUUCCUUUUCUCAGUUUAUCAGGACGUAGUCUGUGUUGCUCAGAUUUCCACUGCUAUGCCUGAGAAAAGUCAACUCAAGGAUGAAGGUUUAUUUAGGUCACAUUUCAGUCCAUGGUCAUUUGACUUUGUCAUUUCUGAGUUGUAGUGAUGACGAUCAUUGUGGGCAUGUAAUGGAGUAAUGCUGUUCAUCUCAAAGUGACCAGAAAAGAGAGGAGAGAGAGAGAGAGAGAGAGAGAGAGAGAGAGAGAGAGAGCAGACAAGAGGAACAUACACCUAAAAGCAUACGCCCUCUUCCUCAAGUUUCCAUCACCUCCCUAUAAGCCAUCAAGACCCCAUCUGUCAGUAACUAACUAGUUUGUGACGUCAUCGGUGCCUCCAUCAUUCAGUCACCUCCCGGAGGCUCUGUUUCAGUAUACAGUCCACAAUGGGCACCAAGCCUUCACCCGCCAGCAUUUGUAAGGCAUUUCAGAACCAUAUCAAAACAUGGGGUUUGAGUUUUGCCUGUUACUGUAACUUGCUCCAUUGGCCUCCCCUGACUCAUCUACACCCAGAUAGAUGAGUGAGGUGUUUCUGGCUUCAGCUUCCAGAGGGGCCUACACACACCUCUUGUCUUUUAUCUCAGCACACCAACCACAGUGCUGAAACGAUCCAAGGAUGCAUUCAUCCUUCCCACACAUCUAAAGGUUCAUCUAAAGUAAGAACCAUAUGUUCUCCAUCUUAACGUGCUGGUGCUGAGAACAUGGGAGAUGGGAGAGAGAAGCACUGCCGAGCCUUGCCAGGUUUCUCAACAAGAACACCCAUCCCUCUUUUUUACUUUCAAUGAAAAUAGGUCAUCUGCAGUUGGCUUUGUUCUACUUACCGAGUUGUAAUGGCACCUUUUAAAGGUUUUGCCUGCUCUGUUACUACUGUGAGCAGUCUAAUCAAAAUUUCCGAAAUCUGUGUGUUCUGGGUGCACAUUUUAUCUACUUUGUUUGGAAAUAAAUAUUUUAAAUAUGCUUUCCCCUGGUUGGUGUGGGUGUGUUCGUGAACUUGACAUUUUAUUUGAAGUCAAGGUAAAUCAUUCACCUUAAAGUCUUCUAAGAAAGUUUAGGGAAGCACAGAGCAAAUUUUGUUGAUGAGAAUUUUACGUUUAUACCAAUUAGAAAAAAGAAUUCAUGGGAACAUCAGUGUGGUACUUGUAGAUUUUUUUAAACUUUGUAUUUGUGAGAGCAGACAUAAUCCUUUUCUUUUUUCCCAUUAAAAUUGAUGUAUUUUACUUUUGCUAAUUAAUGAUAAUUAUGAAAGGGCGUCCUACCUUCAAGUUUAUUUCCUAUGGGCAAUUCCUGGUGUGUUUUUGUUUGCUUGCUUGCUUUGGGAUUUAAAUUCAGGAUAUAUACUGAACUAUAAAGAUCACUGGAACUUACACUUUCACAUGAAUUGAUCCUUUGUUCCUCUUUAAGAUCUUAUCACAAAAUAACUCUUGGCUUACCAUAGCUCACAAGAACAGGGACCUGACUAAGCAGCUCAUUAUCAACUAAAGAAUACAAAUUAUUCAGACCAAGAGCCUUAAGAAUCCUGUAUGUGUAGGCUCCAUGGAAAGUCCAUUGUACUUUGAAAUAGAUUCAACUUAGAAAAUGUGGUUCCUGAGGUUAGGCAGGUGACUCAGAGGAUAAGAACUCUGGCUGCUUUUGGAGAGGACCCAGGCUCAAUUCCCAGCACCCACAUGAUGGCUCACAACCAGCUAUAACUCCAGCCCUAAGGGGUCUGAUGGCCUCUUUUUGCUUCUGUGGGCACUGCAUGCAUUGAUGCAUAGACAUAGUUGCAAGCAAAGCCCCCAAGCACAUAGGAUACAAGGACGAUUAUUUUAAUAAAAAAGAAAACACUGUUUCUUAAACGGAACUGAUCUCACACUAAGAGUUGGCCAAGAGAACAGUGUAAACUCCUAACCACGAUUGGCCUCUCCUUGUUUGCUUUUAUAAAUGGGUAUUAAGGAUGCUGCUGAAUGAUCAAAAUGUACUUUAAAAAUCAAUCUGAGGAAUUUUCAUCUGAGAUUUCAUUUCAUUCCUUUAAGAAAAGAUAGGCAUUUAAGACCACUUAAGUAUGGACUGCAAAUGUGCUCCAGUUAGGAGUCACUCUUUCUACUAAUCCUCGUUACACCCAAGUGUUUGAAAAUGAUGGCCACUCUAAGAGUUUUGAGACAAAACUUGGUGAAAUCUAAGUCCUUGCUCACCUUCUUGGUCCUAUCUACUCCUGGAGUUCAUCCAUCUAUGUGCAGGCCAGGGAAGAAGGAAGGGAGGGAAGGAGGGAGGGACAAAACUUAGGAUGUAUAUGCUCAGGGCUUUGCAUGUCCUUCCUUCUGCCCUCCCUCUGAGUCUUCUGGGAACACUGAGUAUUUCUGUGGCCCUGUGCCUACUCCUGGAUGUAGCUCCAGUAGGGGAAAGUGUUGUAGGAUCAUAUGCUUAGAACAUUCUAGCAUUUCUUCCACAGCCAGGCUGGAGUAAUUCCCUCCUUUCUGUUGCAAAGCCCCUCCCCAGGGCAGCCCACCCAAUUCUACUCAAGUUCUGGCAGCAAAAUACACUUCUAGUCUAUCUCAGGCUCCAGGAAGCUCUGUGGUCCCAAGUCAGACAUCAUCUUGACUUCUUCAUCUUUAAAAUAGAGUCACAUUGGGGUCUACUGAGAACACAAAAUAAAAUUCUGUAUGUAAAAGAACUGGCACAGGACCUGACACAGACAUAUAGGAAUGUUAGAUAUUGAUGAUCUUGCUGAAAUCAUUUUCCAUCUGGCUUUCGUUUUUAAAGCUAGAGAGCAGGUAGUAACAUGUAGUGUCUGGAAAAUAAUAGCUGCUCAGGAAAUGUUUGUCGAGUAUAUGGAACGGGAUUGGAAUAGGGUUUGUGGGCAAACAGCAGGGAAACUUCACAUCAUUCUGGGAGAUCUGUUUCCACCCCCAUAUCACCCCCCAACACACACACUUCCUCCUUUUUCUUCACCUGUGCCUCCUUAAGUCCAGAAACUACUGCCAUUUCUCAUUUCUUCAUUCACACUCAUGGAGUAUCUUAAUUGGGGUUUCUAUUACUGUGAACAGACACCAUGACCAAGGCAACUCUUAUAAAGGACAACAUUUAAUUGAGGCUGGUUCUGAGGUUCAGUCCAUUAUCAUUAUAGUUGGAAGCAUGUCAGUGUCUAGGCAGGCAUGGUGCUGGAGGAACUGAGAGCUCUACGUCUUGAUUGGAAGGCAGCCAGGAGCAGACUGACUUCUAGACAGCUUGGGCGAGGAUCUCAAAGCCCACCCCAAAUGUGACAUACUUCUUCCAACAAGGCCACACUAAGUCCAACAAGGCCACACCUCCUAAUAAUGCCACUCCCUGGGUCAAGCAUAUUUAAACCACCACACGGGGUAAAUAGUCCUGGGUUCUUCCUUCCACAUUCAGAUACAGUUUCCUGUGUGAAGUAUGUAUCUGCCAUUACACUUCUGGAAAUAGACUGGGUAUUGACACUUUACCAUACAGGGAGAUCUGUUUUAUUCCAUGGUUUAACAUAUUUCUUUUCUAUUUCUAUACCUCUUUCCUUUCCGGGAAACUCCAAACCGUGUGAUUCUUCUUUCCAGCCUAGAAAAUGUCCUUGAAUUAUGCAAGUCUGUUUAUAGUCUUGGUCACACCUGGAGACAACCAGGUGGAGUGGCUGAGGCUGUCCUGUGAGAGGGGUUGCAGCCAGUCUCCUGCAUGGAGCAGGGCAGUAAGACAGGAUUGAAGCAGGUACUGCCAGUGGUUGCAUGCAAGUUAGCUGCCCAGUGACCAUGGAAAAUCCCAUGAGUACAUGAAAAUCUUGUGAAGGUAAACUCUCUAAAGCUAAUAUAUCCAGGAUCCCCCGCAGGGCCCUGCAGAAUAGUCUAGAACAUUUGUCUAAUUGUCUGAUCUUUGCCUUUUGAAUUUAAACUUUUAUCUGACUCACAUAGCCCAGAGUCUAAAACACAGAAACAACUCAGGAUGAGUUUAAUGGAUCAAAAACCUUGAACAGUGUUACCCCAAUUGUGUGUGUGUGUGAAGGAUAGUUCCACUAAAUUAAAUUAACUGCAAAGACGUUUGUUCAUUAGUGACUCAUUUCAGAUCUGCAGCAAGAAAAUGGUGGGUUACCUUGACUUUGACACAUACUCUGGGAGUUGGAGACGUAGUGACUAAUAUAGAAACAAUUCAGGAACACCUAUAGCCUUACAUGUUAAUGGAAGAUCUCAAAGGAUAAAAAUGUAGAAAACACUACCAAUGAAUAAUUGGUUCAGGCAAUUAGGAGAGAAGAGAAACUGUUCUUAGAAAUGGUGGUUACAUAACACAGCCUGUCACAUGUUCUUUGGGGAUGUGAGGGCAGACUGAGAAGAAGGCAAGAAUCUCUCACCAUGACACACAGCUGAUGCCAGUCACCAUGUAGUCCCUGACUCCUUCAAGACCUUGGGUCGAAUCCCACAGUGUAGCUGUUAGAGGCCAUAGAGUAAAAUCUUAAGAUCUCCAGGCUCAAGAGCAGCAAUCAUAUAAAAGGAGAGAUUGAAAAAUAUACCUCCAUCAGUCUUGUCCUAUACCCAGCCAAGAGAAUGGAUGAAUUUUAAGAGAGGGAAUGGCAGCGGAGAAUGACAGAUAAAGGCUGUCUCCAGGGUGAGUCCUCUGCAGAGCUGUUUCUCAAGAGAGCUGUUUCCUGCCUGAGGCUGAAGGCUCCUGGGAUAGCACAGGCACAGAGCAAAAUGCACAGACUUUUAUUUUUCAGGCACCACAAUUUAUUUACAGUGGCUUUCCCGAGAGAUGAUCCAUGCUACAUAUUUCACAGAAAGUGAAGACCUUGGUGGUUAUUGAUUCAGUCAGGGGACAGCGCAUCCAUUACUGUGAUCACCUCACAACCUCUUCCUCAGCCAAGAAAUAAACCCCACACCUGCUGGCGGCGUGCCAACAGUCAUUUUGAUUCAAACAAACAAACAAAUGAGGCAAACCUUUUAUUUUAAAGCACAAAUUUAUACUAGAGUCAUUUGCAAUACAAGUAGCUAGAAUUGGAGAUUAAAAAAAAAAAAACCCUCUGACUUAUUCUCACAAGAAGACACCUUGAAAAAGUAAAUGUCUUCACUAUAAUAAUCCAGCCUGACUCUGUGUCAACAUUUCUGCUCUUUCUAUAGGUGUAUAUAAAAGUUAGAGUCAUGUGUUACUUCCUUGAGGCCACUCUACAGCAGCGACCUCUGGAGUAGCGCACAUGACUGACCGUUUCUGGGACCAUUUGGAAUGGCACUCACAUACUGGGAACAAGUCCUGAAAAUGCUCCGUGUCCUUUGUUCAAAUGCCACGCGAGAUGGUAUCCUUACAACAAUUCGUUUCCGGGGCCUUUGAAAGGAAAGGUUAGCCAAAACCAUUACGUCUAUAGGAAAACACUACAAAACGUUAAAACUUGAGGGCCCCGGAAUAAACAUUAAGGAAUCCGUCCUAUAAAAGGUUGAAUAUUCUAAUAUACAAACGAUUAACUAGUGAAAAGAGAAAAGAACAAUACUAGGACAUGGCUGUGCGAUAUUAAGGGACAGGGUACAGAAGAGAAAAUGCAGAUGACUGGUGGAAUAUGCGGGGGAGGGGAGUUUUAAAUUCACCUUGUAGGAAAGAAAUAGGAACAGACACAACAGUAAGCUCCCAUCUCUUCUUGAAAGGUAAGAGGAAGUGUUUUGAAACCAUGGGGAUCCUCAUCCUGGUGCAAGCCUGGUGAGAUUAACAGUGCCAGACCCGUCAGUCCCUGAACACAUUAAAGGCACACAAGCCCCACAUCACUUAUUCAGCAAUCUUGUCUGUAGUAAUUGUGUGCGCAAGUGUACUGAAAUACACUAUGGGGCUUACUGUGUUUUCCUUAUAAUCUCAGAACAUGUAGAGAAAACAUGUAAAAACUUCAGUUUGGCUAAACAGAUUAUGAAAUAAAUACUUAAGAAAAUAUAUUGUCACCAAUACACAUUAGGUCAAUUUAAACGAGCCAGUGUGGUAAGUGGUCCAGAAUGUACUGACAAGUGGGGAACCUGAAUGAAUACUUUGCACGUUGCCACUUAUGACAAGCUACCUGAGAAACUGCAAUCCCUUGCUUCCCAGAGGUUGCUGAGCUGAGAGUUGGAGAAGUUAGGGAAAUGCAGGUUUUACUCUUUUCUUGUAAGAUACUUAGUUGAGACUUAAAAACAAUAAUUUAAAAAUUUAACACUAUUUUCUCAUUUUAAAAAGCAACCAUUGUACAUUAUAGAGUGUUGGAAAUGAAUGAAGUAUAAACCUAAAGUCAAAUUUAUCCAUGGGGUUGGGGAAAAGCCUAUGCCCAACACCCUUCAGCUGUGCUGUGCGCAUGUGCAGUGUCUGCUCUGCGCAUGUGCCCCUGUAUGCUCUGCGCGUGCGUACUGUCUGCUUUAUAGCUUUCCUUUGUCAUUAUCAAAGAUUGCAUGGCAUUAAAUAUCGCUUCGUAAUCUAUAGCAGUCUACUGGUACAUUUUCAUUUUAUUUCCCUCUGUGAAUCGAAGGAGAUUUGGGAGAAAGCAGAAAUCAUAGUAGUUGGAGAGGUUUAUUAAAAAAAAAAAUUAAGGAGUUGCAUCUAAGGUUUGGACCCCAGGAAAGACACAGGAGAUACUGUGGAACACAGCACUGCCUGGGUCCCGAUCUUUAUCUUAGCUAUCUAUAAUUUUAUCCCCUUAACUUUUUGCAUAUCCGAACUCCUAUAAUAUCAUGGAUGCUCUUCACAAAAGUAACAAAUCCACCAUGGAGCUCUCUUCACAGGUCCUAUCCCCUCCAAAGCAGGAGAUCCUCCUAAAAUGUUUUCAAUCUAUGUAGAUGAAAGUUUCCUAAGACGGGUUCUUAGCUGAACUAAGCUAUCAUCAAGUAUCCCACAUCUCUCUUGACCUAAAUGAUGUUGUCAGAAACGCAGUGUGUCAGGAUGAGACAAGAUUACUUCUUAUUUCUUAAAGGGAAACAAAAAUAUUUCAAUACACUCCCAAUAGUUUUUGGAAAGAAAAGUCAACAUUUCCCUUUGAAACUGAGAACAUGAACUCUCUGUUUUGGAAAUAGAAGACCAAAUUUGCUUAUAAGAAUACAGUCUGACCUUGGGAUUUGCAUACGACUGCAAUUAACUCAGCAAAUAUUUGAAGAUGUUAAGUCUUCUCCCAAAACAGGUUAUCUACUGAACCCAUUCUCUGAAUCAUUUUGCCAGAGACAACAGCCUUGCAGACUGCAGUAAUGACUCAUUUAUUUGGUGGCUGAAGGCCAAACGUAAAUUGAAUAUCAUUUGAUUUCAAGCAGCCUGGCCACAAGUCAACUCGAAUGUCUCCCCUCUAGCCAGACUGUUUCACUGAAAGACCACAAUCCCUCCCAAAUCCUAUGUACGGCCAUUUAGAUGGCUGCCGCCGUCACAUGGCUACAGUAUUUAUUAGCCCUGAAAAGCUAUAACCCAGGACCUGCCUAAGUACUGCACAGGGAGUUCAUUCCAAGCCACAUUUGACCCUAGUGUAAAGGUGAUCUUCAAGUGGAUUUAAAGCUGAUAAAUCACGUUUUCAACCUAAAGCCUGCUUUCUCCUAAUAAAAAAGAAGCUUUAGAUGUUUCUAACCUUUUCUUCUUUUCUUCACUUCUGGAUUGAAGAUUAAUCACACGUACCCAGAGAUGUAAUUUCAUGUCUGCCGUCUAGAAUAGGAGGGAAAAGAGAUCAAUGGCUUAUGAGGGACUUCUUUAAAAUUAAACAGUACAACGAACCAUCUUUUUAAGUAGCCAGCAGUGAAGGAUAUGACUCCUUAGGUGGGCUGAGGGCUGAGUACGAGGAACAGGAAAAUAUACAGUACAUGGUAGGCAAUGUUUGUAUGGGAAAUGCUUGUUUUCUGAGAAAUGCACAAAGAAUUAUUCCCAAGAAUUAGCCUGCUCUUAAUGUGUCUCCCUUAAAUAUAUAAUGUAAGAAAAGAAAAUUAUUUAUAAGUCUGUUUUAUUUCAGAACUUUGUCAUGUAUACAUUUAAAUUCCACAAAUGUGCUGACAUAGUUUCCUCUGAACAUGUUUUUAUAGGCAUAGCUUUGUACUUUCAAAAAUAACCUUGUCUCAGGUUGGGAGGGAGACUGGCAAGUUUAAGGCCAGUCGAGGCUUGAUGAUAAGAUCCUGUUUCAAUAACAAACCAACAAAGUAUCAAUCAAUCAAACAAACAAAGUAUCAAUCAAAGUAUCAAACAAACAAACAAACAAAAAUAUAUCAUAUCUCAAGCCCCACAUACAUGAGAUCAUCGGUAACUGCCGUCCUUGGUUUUCAUCAUUUUUACAAAAUGAAAAUUAGCAAUUAUAAUGUUUAAAACAUUCUUUUUACAUUUAUUCUCCCCCUCCUACCCACCCCCUUGUGUGUGUGUGUGUGUGUGUGUGUGUGUGUGUGUGUGUGUGUGUGUGUGUACACAUGCAUGGCAUGUAGAGAACAGAUGAAAGCUUGUGGAGACUGCUUCUCUCUUUCCAUCAUGUAAGUCCCCAGGAUCAGGUGUCAUCAGUCUUAGUGGAAGGCACCUCCUGAACCAUCUUGCUGGCCUAUGCUCUCACUUCUGUAAAGUGAAUGUGCCUCUCCCAAGGCAGAAUUCUAGCAUUCCUCUUUCUCUCACCAUUUCUCUUUGUAAAGUCAGUGCCUCCUUGAAAGGGACUUAGACUCAAGGGCAGAGCUGAGAAGCAGGUUUGUGGGCCACUAGAACACCAGCCAGAAACCCAGCAAACCAGAUGGUCAGCAUCAAAGAUGAGGUGACCAUGUUGCCUGGUUGCAAACUGGUUUAAGGAGCUUACUGUGUACCCAAAGUCCCCUCUGAGGGAUUUCAAUGAGCAAGUCCAGCCAAGCAGGGAGACAGUCACUUCAAAUGCCUAUGUCCACUCGCUUCAGUCAUUUCAGCAGCUAGCUUAAACCUGCUCCCCUCAGCACAUUCCCUGUGUGGCACUUGAACCCCUGAAAUGUCCACGUGCAAACCACUAGUCAGUAUGUCGUGCUAAUGAUUGCUCUGUCUUUAUGUCUCUCUCUCUUACUGCCUCUAUGUCUCCCUCACUCUCUCUCUCAGGGUGUGAGUGUGUGUGUGUGUGUGUGUGUGUGUGUGUGUGUGUGUGUGUGUGUGUGUGUGUGUACUCUUGUGCCAUCUCUCCAGACCCUUGUUUCUGUUUUGGGUUGCUGAGAUUUUUCAGUGCUUUUUAUCCAACUUAAGCUUUAGGUGAAAUAACUUCGCUUGCCACUCUCUCUGGAACUGAAGUAUUUGCAUAACUAUCUAGAGACUCUACCAACCUUGUUGCUUCCUAGACUGAGUUACAGAAAAAAGGGAGACUCUCUUUCAUCCCUGCUCCCUGAGUUUUUCCAUGCUGCUUUCUUCACACAGUAGCCACGCCCAUGAUACUGCCUGACUCACAGAGCCCCAUUUAUUUGCAGCAUUCAUUUCUUUGGUGAAUCACCCUGGGCCUGCUCUCAGAAUGCCUUCAGAAAUGAGGCUUCAUUUGUGUGUUAGCCAUGAGGCUCUUUCACUAAUAAUCCUUUCUGGAUUUUAUUGUUGGCGGGGAUGUUAUUAAGAAUAACAUCCUAAGAGAUUAUUAUUAAUUCUAUAGCUUGCUCCUACUUAGAGCAAUACCUAACCCAUUGCAGCACCUUAGUUCAUUUCCCACCACACACAUCUACCUCUAAUUCCAGCACUGGAGGAUCUCACACCCUCUUCUGGCUUUCAUGGACACACAACACACACACACACACACACACACACACACACACACACGUGACAUACAUAUGCACAGACACAGACUCAUGCAUAAAAUUACUAAAAUAUAAAUCUUUAAAAAUCUAUAAAGUUUAAGGAGAUGCCCAAUUAAGUCCUCUUUUAUUUUUAGUCUUCUGCCAAAUAUGCACAUUUAUAUCCCCAGUUUCUUUGCAAAGAAAGGUAGGUUAACUGGCCUGUUAAAUGAAAUUUUGCUAAGUAGAUUUGCAUCAAUUUUCACAUCACAUGAUCCUUUUUGAUUGAUGUAACAGCCUUGUCAUCUCUUGCCAAUUCUGAUGCUUUCUUCUUCUCAAUAAUCCGAAUGUUUACUCCUGGCUUUGUAGCUGGGAUUUUCAUCUUGGCCUCUCAACUGAAUUUUUGAUGUUGGUGUAGGCUCAAGGAUGAUUUUACCUAAAGAAUUUUCUUCCCAAACCUUGGUUUUACCUCAAGGCAAGAAAACUAUGACCCUUAACCCCCAUACUCCCCAUUGGAAGUCCUUUCCCCCAGGAAGGUCAGGCUGACUUCUUUUCAAAUAUAGAACCCUUCAUGGUGAAUAUCUUUGUUUUUAAUCACGUUCGGUGUCCACUUCCCAGGGCAUUGAGAUGAGGGUAAGGUCUUUUCUAGAAACUUCUUUAGCCACAAGCUCUGUCUAAUACCAAGAACCUGUUUUUUCUCUUGAAACUGAACCAGACCUUUUGUGGCACCCUACCUGACUAACCUGUGGAAUUCUCUUUGCAUGUGGACCUCCUAAAAAGGAAUUUCCCCUAAACCUCUCUGAUAAUCUGAACUCCCCAUAGAAUUACAUAAAAGAUAAAUUUCCACACCCACAAUAUCAGGACAAUACCUGGGGAAGGGGCUCGGAAGCUUAGUGUUCAAAACAACCCAGGAGUACGUCAUCAGAAGAGUGAAGUGAGGUUGUAAAACCCUGCUCUUUAAAUAAGAUGCAGUCUUUUCUAGAGCUGUGAGUUUUUGUUUAUUGCCAUCGAUGAUGCAGCUUCUCAAAUGGUGCCUAGAGUACCAGACUCAUGCUCAGUUUGGCUGGUACCUUGGUUUUUCACAAGCACCUUCAUAUCAUUUGCACUGAUAUUUGGGGUCUACCGUUCCAAUGACCUCUCUUUGUAGGUGUAGAUGAUUUCUUACCAAGCUUCAUUGUGAAUGUGAAGGGCUAGUAAUAGUGGGUUUUUAAAAACAUAUUAUAACUGUCUGAGAUAGGACCUAAGAUUUAGCAAGAUCCCAGGAGAAUCCUGGAGCUGUGAAUCCAUGAACCAUAUCUGCAACAAGGAAGCAGACAGCAUCCCAAUCCCAAAUGCUUUGGCUAAUGGACAGCACAGAACGUGGAGUGUGUAAAUAAAAGAAUAGGUCUUACCACUACCCACAUAUGACACACCAUAAACACACUGAGGGCACACGGUAACAGCAAUAGUGCCUUACCCUUUCUGAAUGGCCCACCACUUCAGGAUUAUACGUGCUGUCACUGUGUGCUGCUUGGGAAUCCAAUUAUGUCUCUAUGCUCCCCAGAGAGCUCUUCCAGAUCUCCAGAUCCCUGACCCACUUUGGCCUGAGUUCAAGGCCACUACACCCAGAAUGUAGACUUAUCUAAACGGGUGGUCAAAGCAAGGUGUCAGAGAGCUUCAUACAAGGAGAGAGGUAUUAAAUUUGAUUUCCACCCUUUUUUUAUGAUCUUUUUGGUGAUAGCUUCCUUCACUUCCUUUUCUCAAGGAGGGAGGUUCUUCACUUUCCAGCUCUUGGCUCUUUUUUUUUUUUUUCUUUUUUUCGGAGCUGGGGACCGAACCCAGGGCCUUGCACUUCCUAGGUAAGCGCUCUACCACUGCAGCUCUUGGCUCUUAAGUAAUGUAUCUGUGUGCUUCUUACUACUGUCAGAUCCUUCCCACUUCAGAGCUGGUGACAGCCAAUGAGUAAGACAGGUAGUUGUUUAGAAGUCUGAACUCAAACCCAGUCAGGAAGAGAGACGAUUGACUUGGGUUGGGAUAGGGCCUGAAGUAGGACAGGUAUCAGUUUUUAAAGACCGAUUCAUCCUGCUAACUCAUUUCCUUUGACUUUGCUCGUUUUGUCUAUAAAGCUGCCUUACGUAAUUAUGUCUCAUACUGAGCCUUGGGGUUUUCCUCUGCGCUCCUCUUACCCUUGUACUAGAGAAAAAAAAAAAGGCUUCCUGCCCCAUGGCUACACAUCACUGGGAUCAUUUGUGGUUUAAAUUGUAAUAUUUCAAGCCUCACUUCCCACGGUUCUAAAGCAAGAGGUUCGGAGAGAGGCACAGUUGUGCUUUUUCAAGGAUUAUACUCUGCUUUUCUUUCUCCUGCAAGAGGGCUAUGGCUGUGGUAGAUGCUGAGUCUUUCUUGCAUGUGGGCACAGGAAGCCACUGUGCUGCACAUGCCCCUCAGCAGGGCACGCCAGCAUAGUCACGUGAGCUAAGAGUGUUGUGCUCCAGGGUGCCCUGUGUGCCCUCAGUCCCUUCUUAUCCUCCUUGGGCUCCAUCCUCCCCUUAAUAGCCCAUGCUCACCUCUUACACUCGUCCACUACUUCUACCCAUGGUCAGGCCUCCAUCUUUCCUACUCAGUCACCCAUGUUUGGUGUCUCACAGCAUCCAGAUUAUUCCUUUAAGGGUAUGGCGUGGCUCCUAUCCAUUCCCUUAUUUGAACCUCUUCUCUAUAACGUUGCCUUCUGCUUAUUAAAAUGACUCCUUCCCUAUUGUGGCAACACUGCCUCCCACCUUUCCCUUUCCUUCCCACUUGUUCGUGGCUGGCUUCUUCCUGUGUCCAAAGUUUCAACUCCUGUCUGUCCAAACACCUUCUCUGACCACCAAUGGAGAGGACCACCCAUUUGCUAUCCAUUUAACUCUUGGCAAAACCCUUUAAAAGCCAGCAUGUGUUUUCGCCUUUGUCAGUUUACAGGUCAUUUUUCCCGCUUGGUUCCAAGCAAGCAGGUACCUUGUCAACUAAUCACCAAUCACAUCCCAGCAGUUAAAAUAGCAGACAUAUUUGUAGAAUAUAUUUAAGUUUAGUAGUACACAGGAGCGGUUCACAGUAGUGAGGGAAUAUUAUUUGCAUAGGGACACCUAGAAACACUUUUUUUUAAACACACUUAAAAAACUAAAAUCAAACACCCAACAGAAAUGGCAGUACACUGAGAUAGGUGGGUUCCCCAGAGGUUAUUUGAAGGUCAUUCUACAGGAGAAUGAGGCCCAACAAAUAUUCUUUAAAUGACACUUACCAAGGUGACUUCAUGGAUAUGAUGGCAGAUAAAAUAAAAGCCACUGGAAGAUCCCAAUUUGUAAAUGUUACCUUAUUUGGAAAAGGGGUUAUUGCUUCAAAAAGUGAAUUAAGGAUCUUGACAGGGAGAGGGAUGCUGUUCAGAUCUGCACACGGUACGUGAACAUGGCCAAAAGAACUUGAGAUAGGAGUGAGAACAGGAGAUCCCUGGGCCUAGGUACCCAGUGCUCUGGUCACGGCUGUGUGACAGCCAUGUGUGUGGUAGAAAUAGGAGAGGACCAACUAAGGGAGAGAAAGAGAAGCGAUUUAUUCUGAGCUCACUCCAGCAGAGCGUGAGCCUCCACCAUCUGUGCCUUGGCAGCGACUCAGAGUCAGGCAGGGGCACCAGGAAGCUCUGUAGUGGGAGAAAGGAAAGGCUCAGGUAUGAGACACGGAAAGUGUCUGUGUCAGGAAGCUGCAGGCAGGUUGUCUAGAAGUGGGGCAUCCUCUGGAAGUGGUCAGGGGCACAUUCCAUAGUCAGUCCUAAAUUGGAGGUAGUAAGAAAAGGAAGCUGUCAGUUACUCCUUAAACCCUGGCCACUUUGGGCUGGUUGAUUUGAAAGCCAUUGGCUGAAUCCCUGGGCAGGAUUAGAGACAAUGGUCUGUCAUUUUACCCUUCUGGGUUCUAGUGUGCUGCCUUCCUGGCUGGUCAGCAUGGGAAGGAUAGCACUCCUGGGCAGGUAGCUGCAAGUUUUUAUAUAAUCCAGCUAUUGUCUCUAUGUCUAAUCGAUGUCAACACGGUCAGACUUCUGAAACACUAAGAGGGUAUCACACUUGGGCCAAAUGAUGUCCAAGCUGUACCCCUUGGAGGCUGGGGGUCAGGGGAGCAUUGUGGGUUACCCUGACCACUCACUGAAGAGUCUCAGGAUAUUUUAUAAAAAUAAACUCACAGCCAUCCCAGGGGACUUUUUGGUUUCAGUAACUGCAGCUGCAGUGCGUGUAGGGAUGAAAAAGAUGACACCUGAUGGACGCUCCAUGGGUCAGUGACUAGGUGACAGACUCUUUGUGAAUAGCAGAGGAUAGUCAGAUUGUUUUUAAGUUUUCUUUUUGGAUCAUAUUCAUUGUUGGUGGACAUGGGGUUCCCAUGGAGAACACAGAGAUACCUGGUGCAUGACAGUUGUACACUCAGGAAGACGAGAUCCUGACUUCAUUUGCAGCCAAUGGGUGCCCUAAGUCAGGCUUAAUGAUUAAGUUUACAGACGACCACUUCAUGCGGGUAAGGAGAAGACUUCCCCUGCGUGGAAUCGGCGACAAAGGCUCAGAACCUCUGCUUGGGACUUCAUUCUCAAAAGGAUGAUUGUAGAUAACAUACACUAUCUAACUGCCUUCCUAAGCGUGUGGCUGGUCCUGGGCUGUCCUCCUGUCACUUCUGCAAAAAACUCAGGCUUGCACUCUGCAGGGUAGAGAUUAGGUUUCUCUACCCUGUGCCUCUAGGACCUCCCUCACCUCCAGACUCUCAAUGGGCAAUGCAGUCCACCGGUAGUAACAGAGCACUGAAAGAAUUUGCCUUAGAAUGAGCUUGUCUUGCUACAAACGCCUAAGAAAUACGAAAGGCAUUGCUGACGGGUCCAGGCAAGUGAUGGUCAAUGCUUUCAUUAAUCCUUCAAAGAAGAACUAACCUAGGGCUGCACCAGAAAGUGCUGCCUAAUGGACACAAGUAGUAAUGGGUCCCAACCAGAGGGGACAGAUCCUUUACCAUGGGCUAUUUGGAGAUAGUUGUGCUCAUUGUUGUGUUAAAAGGAUAAAGAGAGGGGGAUAUGUUCUAUGGAGGUCUGGGGAAAGGGGGUGCCUCAGUGGACCCAUGCAGAGACAUCCCUUCUCCCUAAGGGACCACCCACACAAAGGUAUAGUAUAGAAUAAAGUUUAUUCAGGGCAAGGGGAGGGGAGUUAAGAGGGUAGUAGGGGAGAGAGUGAGAGAGAGAGAGAGAGAGAGAGAGAGAGAAAGAGAGAGAGAGAGAGAGGGAAGAAGAAGAAGAAGAAGAAGAAGAAGAAGAAGAAGAAGAAGAAGAAGAAGAAGAAGAAGAAGAAGAAGAAGAAGAGAAGGAGAGGAGUAGAGGAGUAGAGGCCAGCCAUGAGCACACACAUGGAGAGAAGUGGGGAGGGGGAUGGGGAGAGAAGGGACAAAGGGGCAAGAGAGCAAGAGGAAGCAGGAGCAAGAGCAAGAGAGUGAAGAGGGGUCAAGCAGCCCCUUUUAUAGGUCAGGCGUACCUGGUUGUUGCCAGGCAACUGUGGGGUGGAGCUUAGACAGAAUGCUAACAAGUCAUCACAGCUAGGAGUUAGAGGACAAGGAUACAAUUAUCAACUGGCAGGUCUCCACUGUGACUGCCACAUGGGAGGAAGAAAAGGCAGCAUCCCAUAUGAAGCUGUGGUAGGAGGAGUUACAGCUUCUCUUGGUGUUUUGAGGCCUUCCUCUCUUCUCUCCUUUCCCGUGGUUCUGAAAUUGUGACACGGGAGAUGAGCCAGCCACAGGGACUGUGCAGAUGAGAGUACUUGAAGAGAUAGAAAAAAAGAGUAAGAACCUGAGUUACCAAGCUGUCUCCUGGAGCCAGGUUGUCUCCCCCAUCAAGACAGCACAACCAUGGACUGUUACACAAGACAAAUUCGCUUCUCUCCGUUGACUGUGAGGGAAGAGUAUUUGGAAAAAGAGCGUCACUGCUGCUACCAAACACUAGAUCUGAGUAGCGACUCGCAAAGUUAAUGUCGAAAAUGCCAGUGCCACCCAGCCUCUCACAGAUGUUACAUAAUGUGUCACCAGGGCCUCCGAAAGUCUCGGGGAGUGCCAGCACGUGGGCACCAACUGAAGUGCUUGGCUGCUGUUCUGAAAACCGUACAGCUCCAUUAGAUGCUUCAGCCACACGUGUCUAUAUUUUUAGAAGAUACUUUUUAAAAAUCUCAGUUGCCUGGCUCUUUUACUCUCCCGUGAAAGCACCAAACUGAUGCCUUUUCCUCCAGGCCAGUUUGCUCCAGACGCCACCUUUUAAAUAAUAAAUUUAUUAUUUUUAAUUGUCUCAA